rnacentral:rRNA from 1 species
GAGUGGCGAACUGGUGAGUAACACGUGGGGAAUCUGCCCAGAAGCAGGGGAUAACACUUGGAAACAGGUGCUAAUACCGUAUAACAACAAAAUCCGCAUGGAUUUUGUUUGAAAGGUGGCUUCGGCUAUCACUUCUGGAUGAUCCCGCGGCGUAUUAGUUAGUUGGUGAGGUAAAGGCCCACCAAGACGAUGAUACGUAGCCGACCUGAGAGGGUAAUCGGCCACAUUGGGACUGAGACACGGCCCAAACUCCUACGGGAGGCAGCAGUAGGGAAUCUUCCACAAUGGACGAAAGUCUGAUGGAGCAAUGCCGCGUGAGUGAAGAAGGGUUUCGGCUCGUAAAACUCUGUUGUUAAAGAAGAACACCUUUGAGAGUAACUGUUCAAGGGUUGACGGUAUUUAACCAGAAAGCCACGGCUAACUACGUGCCAGCAGCCGCGGUAAUACGUAGGUGGCAAGCGUUGUCCGGAUUUAUUGGGCGUAAAGCGAGCGCAGGCGGUUUUUUAAGUCUGAUGUGAAAGCCUUCGGCUUAACC